rnacentral:rRNA from 1 species
UGGGGAAUUUUGGACAAUGGGCGCAAGCCUGAUCCAGCAAUGCCGCGUGCAGGAUGAAGGCCUUCGGGUUGUAAACUGCUUUUGUACGGAACGAAAAGCCCUGGGUUAAUACCCUGGGGUCAUGACGGUACCGUAAGAAUAAGCACCGGCUAACUACGUGCCAGCAGCCGCGGUAAUACGUAGGGAGCGAGCGUUAAUCGGAAUUACUGGGCGUAAAGCGUGCGCAGGCGGUUUUGUAAGACAGAGGUGAAAUCCCCGGGCUCAACCUGGGAACUGCCUCUGUGACUGCAAGGCUAGAGUACGGCAGAGGGGGAUGGAAUUCCGCGUGUAGCAGUGAAAUGCGUAGAUAUGCGGAGGAACACCGAUGGCGAAGGCAAUCCCCUGGGCCUGUACUGACGCUCAUGCACGAAAGCGUGGGGAGCAAACAG